UCUGGGUGGGAACUGGGGGUCUGGUGGGAGCCCAGAGCGGCCUGGACCCAGUGGGGUCCUGGUGGGAGCCGGGGACGGGAGGGCGAAGCGUGGAGUGGGGAGAAGCCUGGGGAUCAGUUUUGGGGAGGCCGGGGUAGCCAGCCCGCCUGGGUUGUGAUGACCGGGAGAAGGCUCCAGCUGUUUGCUUAAGAUGUUGGGAUUGCUGUGGCACACGGAGUGCCCUGUGCCCCGCGGCCUCAGCCUCACAGGGUGGCCUCCUGUUUCCUGGGACUUCUCAAGAAACAAAACAGGCUAGCGAGGCAAAGAAAAUACCGCCGUCUGCCCUUCUCUGUGAACAGAGGGCAAGUAUAUCAUGGACACGGGGAAGAAAGUCCCUCCUGGUCCCUGUAGAAAAACACUGUGCGGUCUCCAGUCUUUGUUUUGGUUUUGGGAACGCAUUCUUGAAAAGCGCUGUUUCACCAAAGGAAGUUUAAGCAACGUUCCAGUUUGCUACAGGAAAGCUACAGAGGGACGCCUCUUCAGGAAGGACGAGACUCGCGGAUCCACACACGCUGGCCUCUACGUAGACCGACAUCGUCCUUUCCUGUGGCGGGAGUUGAUUCAGGUUUCCAGAGUCCGGUAUUAGCAAGAUGAAUGAGCCUCUUCCUUUUUUUUCUCUCUUUCCCCUGCAGUUUUGAAACGUGAUUCCUAACUCUGAGUGGAUGCUCUUUUCACGCUCAGCUGGGUUCCUAACUCCUGAAAUAUUAAUCUGUGGGAGUUGCCGGCAGACCCAUAGUGGGCGCCCAUUACCAAGCUCCUGGCUGCCCAAAGGACACUUGAUAAGGGGACUUUACUCUGUGCCUGUCUUCCCGGUUCUGGGGGCUCUGGCAGAGCAGCCCUUGCACCCAGAGAAGUGGCCCCUCUCCUGGCCUUUUGUCCUGCCUCUGCAGUGCGGAAUCCCCUGGUCUCAGCCUGGAACAUUGGCCCCAAGUGCAUUUGCUUAGACCUCUGAAAACGAAUUCAUGAAAGUGGUGUCGUCAGCCAACCCAAUCCCAGCGCCCUCUCCAGUUGUGAGUUCAUUGACUGCCCCCCACCCCCACCCCAAACAAGGCCUUGUUCUCAACGUUGACUUCCUCUGCAUUUUCUUUUUUGCCUAAACACGGUUUCACACUCCUUGCUUCUGCUACACCGCUUAGCACACCAGCAAACUGGUUACAAAACCCAGCCCGAGAAUGUUUAGGACUGUGGAAUAGGCACCAUGUGGGGAUGUGAAAACAUAAGCAAGAUUUACAAGGCCCGCAGCACCGUCCUGAGAGCGGGCUGGGCUGGGCUGGGCCCUUUGUGUGGCUCUUGCGACUUGGUGGCUGCACCUCAGAGCAGGGCUCCCGAGGGUCCCCGGAGACCUUCAAUCUGGUAAGCCAAUUUCAGAGCCCGAGUCUGGUUGCAAGUGGAUUCAUUUGAACUAUAAUAUAAAAUAUUGUGUUUAUUUAACCCCUGUAAGCUGAUCUCCUUUGUCGUCGUGAACUGGCUGGGCAGCUAAGAACCCACAUUCCUUCCAUAGUUAAUAAAACUUCAUAUUUUGCUCUGUAUUCAUAAAUUUAAUUACGCUCAGACCCUUUUAAUCUAUAUCGGUUUUUCAAAAUUUACCUAGAUUAAGAAAACACGGGCCCCUCCCCCUUCCACACGCAACACAAUCAUAAUCUUUGGAUUAAAAGGCACAACUUGAAAAUUCAUUUUGACAGUUUCGUCAACAAAUCAUCUUGUAUCUUUUUUGAUUUUCUGACCUAGAGACGGUAGAGAUGUAAAUUGACUUGGCCAUGAUUCCUCCCAAGAUUUAUACUUUAACAUAAAUUUUUUUUUUCAGCGUUUUUAUUUAUUUUUGGGACAGAGAGAGACAGAGCAUGAACGGGGGAGGGGCAGAGAGAGAGGGAGACACAGAAUCGGAAACAGGCUCCAGGCUCCGAGCCAUCAGCCCAGAGCCUGACGCGGGGCUCGAACUCCCGGACCGCGAGAUCGUGACCUGGCUAAAGUUGGACGCUUAACCGACUGCGCCACCCAGGCGCCCCGCAAGAUUUAUACUUUAAAUGCCUGCAUUGUUUAGCCUUAUUAAAACAAAACAAAACCACCAAGAGAAGAGAAAAAAAGCUGUUUCUCACUUACUUCACCCAUGACUCUUUGUAAAUUCUUUGAAGCAUUCAGCUUGUAUUUGGGAUUGGUACAUCUUCUCUGAAAGUCAAGAAGGUGAGAGACCUCAGGGAUGCCCCUACCCAGAGGAAUCUUGGGACACGAGAUCAGUAGUGCUUCCUUGGCCCCUCCCAGGUGCUUUCUGAAAAUCAGUGACAUUUCUGUAAAGGGUUUUGUGCCUGCUGAGAGACAUAAAUGCAAUUUAUCAGCAUCUAGGUACUCUGUGUCCCCAGGCACCCACGUACAGAUGAAAGCUUAUCGUCUGGCUCCUGGCAGAAAUCCUUCCCAGUGCGACCUCCUUCGCUCGAAUCUUCUCUAAACAACAUCUGUUCAAAUGGUGCUUCAGAACCGUCUUCUCACGUGUAAUGAAGGACACCAAGACUCCCUGUUAAUUGAAAUGUUUGUCUUCAUUUCCAAAGCUUGGCGUUCUCCCCCUUCCCUACCUGUUUCUUCGGAGAGUUUUUAGAAUUCCGUCUGGGCAGACCCAUCUGCCAAGCGUCCCCUCCUCUGUUCAUAUCUUUUGGCCACCAUUUGGCUUUGCCCUGAUUUGAUUUGUAAGAGAGAAAUCUCUGUUUCCACCAAAAGAAAGAAAAGAAAUAAAAGCUAAACCAAAAUGAAACCUUUGGUAUUGCAGAAAAUUAUUUUUCCCCUUAUUUAAUUGUUCGUUGAAAUUCUUACAAGAACACCAUACUCAAACGUUUGGUCCGAGGAAGGCUUUAAACAUAAGAGGCCCCUCGCAGCUUUCUCAUCUGGAAGUCAGCUAGCAUUCAGCUCUUUGGAACACGGGAGAGGAACAAUCGUUCGUUUUCCUUUUCUGCCUCUAAGGAGCGGAGCUGCAGACAGAACCACUCUGAAGGGUUCUCCCUUUCCAGUAAUGCUCAGGGGCGUACUGUGGAUUACAACUCUAAAAUUUGCGACCAGGUUUCCAUCUAAAAACCGGACAACAUUCUUUCCCCAGUCUUCUUUGUCUGGAGAUACCGGAGGGGAGAAGGGCCGGUGACAUUUCAAAACUCACGUGUGUUCUCUGUGUCGGCUCCGCUGGCUGUUUACCUGUAAGAUCACUGGACGGAGAAGGAUGGCCUUUCAGGCCAAUGUGCCGUAGGCCACGUGUUCCCUCCUUAGCCGCCAUGUGAAGGCAGUGACCAUGUCUUUGACCUGAUGGAAUGGGUGUUUCCUGGGUCAUCUGGCCAUGCGCUUAAAACUUCCAAGUGAUAAUGAUAAAAACAUGCGGAAGUGUUUGCGUGAGGACGGGUAGGGCUUCACCGCCGUUGAGUUUCAGGACGCACUGCCAGCACGUGACAUGGGGCUGUUGGUGACUCUACGAAAUGCUCGGCGAACGCGGAGUGCCCUACCAGAGCUAUGAACAAGAUGCUGACAGAAUGAUUUGUAUCUCUUUGUCUGCCCUUGUGGGCAAUACAUUUCAUGGCCGCCUUAUUUGCCACCAUAUAACCUGUUCCUGCUACACUGCCUGAUGAAUAAGAGGCAUUCUUUGACUAUGUGCUCAGUGAAUGAAUCAAUGAACGGAUUUGCCGCUUCAACACACUUGCUGUCGUUACAAUCGCAGUACUAGUAGCGCGCUGGUACAUCUCCUGGUGUGGAACAGACGUACGGAUUCUGUAAAGGGAACAAAUCUUCCAGCACCCGUGUCACUGCAGACGAGUGAGUGGGGCCCCCGGGACGCCUGCAGGGGCCGAACAAGUGCUCGGGCACCAAGCACAGCUCCUGGCAACACAGGAACUCCUCAAGUGUAACCGGCCCAGGCUGACGGUCAGAGAACGAGAGGCUGUGAGGAGCCCGACUGAGCCGUUCUUGGCAGUGGAGCCUCAGCCGACCUGCGCUGAUAACGGGAUCAUGGGCAAGCCCAAAUUAUAUCCACGAGCCCUUCCCAUGUCGACAGAGCUUCCUGGCCAGUCCACAGACCCAUGAGAGACAAUAAACAGUUGCUUUCUUAAACCACGAAGUCUUGGGGUGGUUUGUUAGGCAGCAAUAGCUAACUGAUAGUCAAUAUCCAUCUUCUGCCGCUACCUCCGAAGGAUCGUUUUCUAGUCCUUCUAGCAGAGACUUAUACAGGUUACCCCAAAUCCGUGCCCUUUUUCAUCAUAAGCGUACAGCUGUGCUAUAUGUUCUCACCUCCACGUGUCCAUGUGACUGAGCUCUGGCGAACGGAAUACGUGCAGAAGCAAUGUGGGGCCCUUCCAAGUCUGGAAGUUCCUGGAAUCCAUUUCCCCCAUCUGGCUGAAUGGAGAGACACUGAGGAGGGCAGAUCCAGAGUAUGGAAGACGCGGGGCUUCGUGCGUGACCGUGUGGAAGACCGCUACUCACCGGGAUCAUCUCCCGGUGCGAGUUUUGUGCGAGUGAGACGCUAACCUCAGUCGUGCCAAGUUCCUGAGGCCCGGGGUUCAUUUGCAGCAGCUGGGGUUGUUCGCCGUCGCCACUGCUCUGCUCCUCUUACCUGGCCUCUCUGUGGCCUUGGGCCAUGCUGACCGCCCUCUCUUACGGCAUCUUCUUUCCCUGGUUUCCUCGAUCUCCUACAUUAUAAUUUUCCCACACAUAUGUCAAUGGUUCUCCAUUACUUUCAAGAAGAUAAGGUCCGGAAUUCUUAGCAUGCCUUUGCCUCUGCUAACGCUUUUGUUUACCUCUCCGCCCUUCUGUCUCACCACCAUUGCCUUCUAACUCUGCGCGUUUAUAUAAACACGUCAUGCUCUUGUGUGCUCUGAGGUCUGAUAUUUGUUCUCUCUCCUGGAAAUAGUCUUCCCACUUUUUGCCCUACUAACUUUUGCUACCAUUUUGGAUCUGGUCUAUCAUUCGUUCCAAGAAUCCUGGGGCCCCAAGGCUGGGCGAACAGCCACUGUGGACUGUGAGGGGGUUCUGUGUCUACCCUAAUCCUAGGACUUACUGUUGUACCAGAGCUUUGUCUCUCCUCACCAGCGGACUCUAUGCGCUGAGCUAUUUUAGUCCACCGUGCUCACAAUUGCAUACGUAUCCUAAAUGCGCAAACCCACACAUGCCAUUUAGU